rnacentral:rRNA from 1 species
UGGGGAAUAUUGCACAAUGGGCGCAAGCCUGAUGCAGCCAUGCCGCGUGUGUGAAGAAGGCCUUCGGGUUGUAAAGCACUUUCAGCGGGGAGGAAGGCGAUAAGGUUAAUAACCUUGUCGAUUGACGUUACCCGCAGAAGAAGCACCGGCUAACUCCGUGCCAGCAGCCGCGGUAAUACGGAGGGUGCAAGCGUUAAUCGGAAUUACUGGGCGUAAAGCGCACGCAGGCGGUCUGUCAAGUCGGAUGUGAAAUCCCCGGGCUCAACCUGGGAACUGCAUUCGAAACUGGCAGGCUAGAGUCUUGUAGAGGGGGGUAGGAUUCCAGGUGUAGCGGUGAAAUGCGUAGAGAUCUGGAGGAAUACCGGUGGCGAAGGCGGCCCCCUGGACAAAGACUGACGCUCAGGUGCGAAAGCGGGGGGAGCAAACAGG